UAACACAUCAUGUUGCAGAGGAAAUGGAAUAUGCCACAUUUGUCUCCACCAAGGGGUUGGAUUGCUAGUGUGUGAAGGUGAAUGCCUGCGCAUGUUUCACUCAAGCUGCAUUGGUUUAGAGGGUUUUCAUGGAAGUGAAUGGUUCUGCCCAUCUUGUGCAUGUGGAUUAUGCGGCGGGGGUGAAUACAAUAAUGACGGCGAUCAGUUUGUGGAGCGAACGAUUGUGUAUUGUGAUCAAUGUGAACAUAGAUAUCAUGUGGGUUGUCUAAGAGAAAGAGGAGUCGAAGGGCUUGAAAGUCGUCCGAAAGGAAAUUGGUUUUGCAAGGAAAAAUGUGCAGAGGUACUUCAAAAUUUUCUC